UACGUAGGGUGCGAGCGUUAAUCGGAAUUACUGGGCGUAAAGCGUGCGCAGGCGGUGAUGUAAGACAGAUGUGAAAUCCCCGGGCUCAACCUGGGAACUGCAUUUGUGACUGCAUCGCUGGAGUGCGGCAGAGGGGGAUGGAAUUCCGCGUGUAGCAGUGAAAUGCGUAGAUAUCGGAAGGAACAUCAGUGGCGAAAGCGACUUCCUGGACCAAUAUUGACGCUCAUGUGCGAAAGCGUGGGGAGCAAACAGG
rnacentral:rRNA from 1 species